UACGUAGGCAGCGAGCGUUGUUCGGAAUUACUGGGCGUAAAGAGUGUGUAGGCGGUGCUCUAAGUUCGGUGUGAAAUCUCCUGGCUUAACUGGGAGGGUGCGCCGGAAACUGGGGUGCUCGAGCGUGGGAGAGGAAAGCGGAAUUCCUGGUGUAGCGGUGAAAUGCGUAGAUAUCAGGAGGAACACCUGUGGUGUAGACAGCUUUCUGGACCAUUGCUGACGCUGAGACACGAAAGCGUGGGGAGCGAACAGG
rnacentral:rRNA from 1 species